CAUGCUUUCCCAAAAGUCCCAUAAUAUUUAUCCAUUCUUUUUUAUUCAUUUAGAUCUUUUCUCCUCCGAUUGUACAUAUUCAAAUAACCUGUCUUCAAGUUCUCAAAUUAUUUUUUCUGCUCAAUCAAUUCUGCUGUUGAUGCUCUCUAUUGCAUUUUAAAUUUUCUUCAUGGUAUAUUUAGCUUCUGUUUGAUUUUUUAAAAAUAAUUUCCAUGAAGCCUGCACCCACAGGGGCUAGACUGUAGCCUGGGAUGGCAGGUGCUGACAUUAUGCUUGGAGCCACAGAAACUUGCCUGGAGCCAAGGGCUAUGGGGGCUUGCCUGGAAGCUGGGAAUUUUAGCAAAAAUAUCAGACUAAACCCCUAACAACAAAAGU
rnacentral:lncRNA from 10 species